rnacentral:rRNA from 1 species
CCUACGGGAGGCAGCAGUGCGGAAUUUUAGAUAAUGGAGGGAACCCUGAUCUAGCGACGCCGCGUGCAGGAAGAAGGUCUUCGGAUUGUAAACUGCUGUGGUAAGGGAAAAAUGCUAUGUAGAGUGGAAAGCUACAUAGAGGGAUGGUACCUUACUAGAAAGCCCCGGCUAACUACGUGCCAGCAGCCGCGGUAAUA